rnacentral:lncRNA from 1 species
AUCAACUCCCAAAGUAAGAAAGCUGGGCCCUGCUAUGGAAGACAGAAGGGAAGAUCACAUCCUGGACACAGAAGCUUCCCCAUAUCACAUGGACAUUUUAUGAAGGAAGAAAUGAUAAGUCUUGCCCCCAAACACACAGAACAUUGAGGAUGGGCCAACUUGUGUGCCAUAGUUGGAGUAGGGAAUGUAUGUGGCAAAUACCUACAGAACCCUCUCAAUCUUAUUUCUUACAUUUUAGAGAUUUUUAGUUCCACAAAAAUUUUUUUUAAAAAUAAACUCCCUUCAAAUGUCUAUUAUACUCAUGUAUUGUAAAAGUACUUUUAGAGUAGUGUCUAAAGAAUAAAGGAGAAUAAAGAAGUUGUAUACUAUAUAUCUAGCUGCAUCUCAGUCUUGGAGAGGAUACAGACCUUUCUAUCCAGCUUGGUUAUAUACCGGAAACCUGCCAAAACAGACAUUAGCUAUUGGAUUGGGAAGGAAAAGUCACCUAUGAACUAUUUUACAUUUGCUAAUGCUGUUUUUUAAUAGAAAGCCUCGGUCUGUUUCCUUUAGUUUUUCCUCAUAUGGUUUUUGUUUUAUUUCUUCUGUUCUUUUUUUUCCUCUUUCAUUGUUUUUUCUGUCUUCUUCCCUCUCUUCCUUCAUUCCUUCUUUCUUUUUGUUUCUUUUCCUUGUAUUGUGACUGCCCGACAUAAGAGAACCAAAGUUAAACCAUGGAAAUGUGGAUGAGACAGAUUGUUUCAGGAGACUGGAUGUGCUUAUAUUUUAUUUCUUAUUUUUUAUUCAACUAAAACUGUGGAUCAUUGCGUGAUAAUAGUCUUCUAUGACUUUUGGCAUUUACAGAAUAUGCCCCCCAAUAAACUGUAUAACACUGGUUUUUCUUCUGCAUCAUUAUACUUUGAUGAACUUAUUAAAUAUCCAAAGAUUUAUUCCUUAGAAAUGCAUAAUGUAGGGAACAGGAUCUUCUAAAACUAU